UAAAUUCGUACUUUUCGUUGUAAAUUUAGGUACAAUAUUUUUUUUGCCAAGUGGCAUCCCUUUUUCCAUAAGAAUAAAAGUUCCAUUGAGAACUUUUCCACAAUUGCAUCAAAACAGUAAAGUUGCGUAAAAGGCAAACGCGCCUGCGCUCGUUGGACAACUUGGGCCAGGCUUCACUGUAUACUAUACAUAUGUGAGCAUGGCUUUGCCUGGCAACAUGAUAAUACAUACAUAUGCGCGGAGAGACACACACACAUACAUAUAUACUUAUAUGUAUAUGUACUUUAGGGAUAAAUGCCACGCCUUUGCUUAUCAGUGGCAGAUGCCGCCCGUUUGAUAGGCAUUUAUUUAUAUGGCUUAACGUCUAAUUAAAAUACAAUUGUAUUACCCACAUACAUACAUACAGAAAA